rnacentral:lncRNA from 1 species
CCCCGGCCGCCGCCGUCUCCUCCUCUUCCCCCGCCCCCUCCAGCCUGGCCGCCGCCGCCUCAGCCCCGCUCCCCGCCGCCGCCAUUUUGGGCCGAGUUUCAAACGGCAAUGGGGAAAAGCGGCUGCGACACCCACCGCAGCCAAUCGGCGCCGGGCUGCCGUGACGUCACGGUAGGGGCGGGGCUUCCGCGCCCUCUGCGCGCGGCGGGCGGCUGCGCUUUUAGGCUCUGGGUGCUGAGGGGCCGUUCCGUUCUUCGUGUGAGAAAAAGCGGUGAAGUUUUUCUUGCUUCGCGAAGUGCUUUUGCCAGUGUCAGACUGGUAGUAGAGCUGUCCUGGAAGCAGCUUAUCAGGGAAUACUGUUACUCAUGCUUUCCAGCCCACGUGAAAAAUGGCACUGGUGGCAUGGUUGGAACAGAAGUGAGAGCUCCCGUCAGAAAAGCUCCUGGCAGCACGGCCACAAAGGGACGUGCGAGCAAUAGGGAAGAUUGGGCCGGACUGAAACAGCGUUCUGCUCUUUGCUUUUCAAGGCACGCUGUAGGAAGUACAAAGGCACCCAACGGAAAGCACCAGGAGGUUGUACUGUGAAGGUGUUUAUUAGGGCUUUGCUGAGCACACCGGUAUCCCUCAGAACACACCGCGGCACUGAGCCGAGUGACUGCGCUACGCCUUAUGGUGCUCUCACAGAAGAAGAGAAGAGUUCAGAAGAGAUAAAACCAACAGAGGUACAAUAACAGCACCAGGAGCAUUUGUCUGUGACUAUGAAGAUUAUUCAAGAAUAACAUAAGGUGAAAAUCACUCGGUUAAAAUAUGUAAAACAGAAAGAAAGGCCGACAUUGCUAUUAACUUAAACAAUCCCAAUCAUGAAAUGUUUUAAGUGGAAAGAGAGCUGCUGUUAGUUACAUUUGAUCCCCAGUAUCAUCUUGGUGGCAGAAUCCCAGUCUUUUCCAAGUUCAAGUCGAUAGCAAAUAGAUGGAAAUUGGCCUUCAACUCUUUUUACCCACUCUGUUGCCUUCUUGAUGGACUCAAAAGCCCAGUGAACACCGCUUGAAGUUGUUAAGUUGUCCAGUUUCAUCAGUGAUUUGAAGACUAUCCCUUGCAGUUCAUUUGCACAGCGUAUGAACUGUAGCACAAGAAGAGUAGCAAUCAACUUCAGUAGCUUUUCUUUUCCCUUUAUGCCUAAGGAAGAAGAAAUGGGAAAUCACUUAAAUUAUUUCUUGACAGCAGAAAAGAGCCUUUCUGCAAAGUGUGUCCCCACGUCGCUUAAAAAAAAUUUAAGUUCUGAUGCUACCCAGUUGUUUCAUGAUACAGUCAG